AGCGGCGGAGUAGAGCGGAGCCUGGCGGGCGUGGGAACCCAGGCCCCGCCGAGGCGGCCAGCUUCAUUCCCAGCCAGGCUCUUCCCAAGCAGUGCUAAAGGAGAGCUACCUUUUCCUUCCAGUUCAGCCCCAAGGGAAGGGAAAGUAGUGCCUCUUUCCUAUUGGCUCAACCAGAGUCGCAGCGUUGAUUCUCAUGGGUCCAACUUAAGUCCUAUACCCCGCCCUGAACUAAUCACUGCAGAAAUGUGAAUGGAAUAUGCAGAUUGGCCAGGUCUGGUACACAAGCCCGACCUGGAACUAGGGAGUGGGACACAGGCACAUGGAUUGAGAAGAGGGAGGAGGGAAGUCCCCAAAGGUAAGUCAGGCUUGGGGAGAGAAUCUGGGUAGAUGCAAACUACAGGUGCCCUUCGAAGUGAAGACAGGAGGUUUAGUCUUAGGCUGAGGUCCUCCAGAAAUGCUGGGCUCAAGUCUACUCAGAAGGCAAGGCCAGGAUAUGGGUCUGGUUGGCUUUGGGGCAUGGGCACCAUCCAGAAUGAAGAUGUCUCUUGUCCGCAUUGGUAAGAGAGACACACAGGCCUGAGAAGGAAGCAGAGAAGCCCCAUUGCAGGAUCUGCCUCUGCUCCCCCUCCACUGUGACCUUGGGCUCUUUCUCCAAGAAGGCAGUGGAGGGACAGUCCUCACUGCAAGCCUGGGGCGGGUGGGACUCUGUACAGAGCCAGGAGCUCAAGGGGCUUCCUGUGAGAUGGUGAACUCCUGUCCCAAGUAUGCCAACCAGUGGUGGGGACAACUGAACCAUGUGGGACUUGAGGCUACUGUGGUGGGGACAGCUGAACCACGUGGGGCUGGGUAGUUGUCUCCAGGGUGGAGGGAGGGGGG
rnacentral:lncRNA from 1 species